UACGAAGGGGGCAAGCGUUGUUCGGAAUUACUGGGCGUAAAGGGCGCGUAGGCGGCUUAUCAAGUCAGGCGUGAAAUUCCCGGGCUCAACCUGGGGGCUGCGCUUGAUACUGAUUGGCUUGAAUGCGGGAGAGGAUAGUGGAAUUCCCAGUGUAGAGGUGAAAUUCGUAGAUAUUGGGAAGAACACCGGUGGCGAAGGCGGCUAUCUGGCCCGUAAUUGACGCUGAGGCGCGAAAGCGUGGGGAGCAACAGGG
rnacentral:rRNA from 1 species